rnacentral:rRNA from 1 species
AUUGAACGCUGGCGGCAUGCCUAACACAUGCAAGUCGAGCGGAUGAAGGGAGCUUGCUCCUGGAUUCAGCGGCGGACGGGUGAGUAAUGCCUGGGAAUCUGCCUGGUAGUGGGGGAUAACGUCCGGAAACGGGCGCUAAUACCGCAUACGUCCUGAGGGAGAAAGUGGGGGAUCUUCGGACCUCACGCUAUCAGAUGAGCCUAGGUCGGAUUAGCUAGUUGGUGGGGUAAAGGCCUACCAAGGCGACGAUCCGUAACUGGUCUGAGAGGAUGAUCAGUCACACUGGAACUGAGACACGGUCCAGACUCCUACGGGAGGCAGCAGUGGGGAAUAUUGGACAAUGGGCGAAAGCCUGAUCCAGCCAUGCCGCGUGUGUGAAGAAGGUCUUCGGAUUGUAAAGCACUUUAAGUUGGGAGGAAGGGCAGUAAGUUAAUACCUUGCUGUUUUGACGUUACCAACAGAAUAAGCACCGGCUAACUUCGUG